CAGCCCGGUCCGGCUACCUAGGAGAGCUUAGGGCCCCUAGGUCCGACGGGAAAGUUGGGUCGGGCACUGACCCCAGGGACAGGGCGCAUGGUGAAGGAGCUGUGGCCACCGGAGGCUAAGACCGUAGGGAGAGGACUCCAUAAACAGCAGGCAGAUGUUAGCAACAGGACGGGCCUGCGGGAGCCGAGGGCGCCCAGCAACGCCGGUGUUUGUCAACAUGGGAUGGGGCCGACCUGGCCCCCAGUCUUGGGAGUCAUCCAACAAGACUUACCAGCUUUAUCACUGGCAAAGUCCCCUAGGCUCAGUCGCUGCAGGGGGAAGUCAACACCAACAGAACUUUUUUUAAUGGAGCCUCUAGAUGCAGAAAACCGAUUCAGGUCUAGGUGCCAGUUAAGGAACAUAUGGAGUGAUAGGGGAACAAGGUAUGAAGUCUGCAGAUAAAAAGCCUGGGUGGGAUGUCAUGCCCUGUCUCUACCAGAUGAAAUAUCAGGCCCUCUUCAAAUCCUACCUUCAACCUCAAAGAGCAAGACUGGAAGGGCCCAAGGAGAGAAUGUCUACAGGAACAACAAUGAGAUGAUAGGGAAUGACUCAGGACACGUUCCCUUACCUUCAGUAAGUUCUUGCUGGGUCCGGCCUCCACUAGGCACCUCUAACCGAAAGUCUCUGCGAAGACAGAAGUCCCGAAGAGGCCGUGU